AUGAAAAUAGCAUCAUAUCUCUGCAUCAAGUUCUACAUCGUCGCCGAGGACUUCUUCUUCUCCGGCCUCCAUCUGGCCGGCAACACGGCCAACAAGCAGGGUUCCGCGGUGACCGCCGUCAACGUCGUGCAGAUCGGCGGUCUUAACACCAUGGGCAUCUCCCUCGUCCGCAUCGACUACGCGCCGAACGGCCUCAACCCUCCUCACACCCACCCACGCUCCACCGAGAUCUUGACCGUGCUAGAGGGUUGUCUCCACGUCGGCUUCGUCACCUCGGACCCUGAGAACCGACACUUCACCAAGGUUCUCGCCAAGGGAGACGUGUUUGUGUUCCCCAAGGGCCUCGUCCAUUACCAGUUCAAUAAUGGGAAUACACAUGCGGUGGCCAUCGCGGCACUGAGCAGCCAGAACCCCGGAGUGAUCACGGUAGCCAAUGCGGUGUUUGUGUCGGAGCCUGCCAUCUCAGAUGAUGUUAUUACCAAGGCCUUCCAGGUGGAGAAGAACACGGUAGAUUGGAUCCAAGCACAGUUCUAA
rnacentral:rRNA from 1 species